CCUACGGGUGGCAGCAGUCGAGAAUCAUUCACAAUGGGGGAAACCCUGAUGGUGCGACGCCGCGUGGGGGAAUGAAGGUCUUCGGAUUGUAAACCCCUGUCAUGUGGGAGCAAAUUAAAAAGUGAGUACCACAAGAGGAAGAGACGGCUAACUCUGUGCCAGUAGCCGCGGUAAUACAGAGGUCUCAAGCGUUGUUCGGAUUCACUGGGCGUAAAGGGUGCGUAGGCUGUUUCGUAAGUCGUGUGUGAAAGGCGCGGGCUCAACCCUUGGACGGCAGAUGAUACUGCGAGACUAGAGUAAUGGAGAGGGAAGCGGAAUUCGCGGUGUAGCAGUGAAAUGCGUAGAUAUCAAGAAGAACACUCGUUGCGAAGGCGGGUUCCUGGACAGUAACUGACGCUGAGGCACGAAGGCCAGGGUAGCGAAAGGGAUUAGAUACCCUUGUAGUC
rnacentral:rRNA from 1 species